AACGCACCUUGCGCCUUUUGGAUUUUCUAAAAGGCAUGCCUGUUUGAGUAUCAUGAAAUCCUCAACAGACUUGGGCUUUAUUGACCAGGCCUCUGUUGGACUUGGAUGUUUUGCCGGUUUUGAAAUAAAUCAGCUCAUCCGAAAUGCAUUAGCUUGGGGGUUCACAAAGUCCUUGAAUGCUUCUUGGCGUGAUAAUACUGUCAUAAGUCAUGAAGAUUGCCAGGCGCAUGAAUGGACCUCUGCUUCUAAUCAGACUUUAAGUCAAUUGAUAAAUUCAUUCUGAUCUCAAAUCAGGUAGGACUACCCGCUGAACUUAA
rnacentral:misc_RNA from 1 species